CCGCGGCCCGGCCUCUGCCCGGCUGUAGGCGGGCCCCGGCGGCGCCGUGCCUCGGUCAGCGCACGUGGAAGGUGCUGGACACGGAGUUUGAGUGGAAAAAUAAAACAAGAAGAGUUUAAAAUUACAUUUAAACAGUCUGUCCCUGGGCACCUUUCCCGUCUAAGUCUGGCCUGGCUCCAUGGGUGCAGUGCCUGCGCUUUGCCAGACUGCAGGCAAAGAACGCUAAGGAAUGAAGAACACGUGGCUCCUACAGCCAGUGUGUGUGUCUAUUGUAAAACACAUGUCAUGAACAUCAGCAGAGCCCUCGGAAGUGAGGGCAGCAAGGCCAAGAGCAGCAGGUCUUGCCUCUGGCAGGGUUACAUGUGAGCUGGACGCCUGGAUGUGCUGGUGAAGGAGUAAAAGCUUCCAGGGACGCCUAUGAAGACCAGUCGGGGAAAUGCAGUUUGCAAGUCAGCGAGGUGUACCAUGCCAGGGAUGACAUGAGACAAAGCAGAAGCCUAGCAGUCUGAAGCAGAUAAAAAAUAAGGAUGGACAAUAUGUUGGAAAGACAUUUACAUAAGCAGUGAGCAGUAGUGAACAGCAAAAACCAGUCUGAAGAUUUAGUGAAUAACUGCUUAUUUCAAAGACUCAGCAAAUGUCAAGCAACAACAAAAAAAAGUACAUUCUAUCCAGCAACCUUGAACAUGGAUCUGGGUCUUCCUGGCAUCCCAUAAUUCUGUGCACCAUCUUUAUGAUUCCCAUGCUUCAGGAGACACUGUAGUCUUUCAGCAACGAUCUGACAUUGGAGGAAGUGGGUGGGUCUUUCAGUAUUCUGUUCAGUAAGUUCUGCAAUCUUGACAGUAAGUUUUGCACUCUCUGAUUGUGAAUGGUGAGGACCAGAAACAUCCCCAAGCCACCAAGAAGAGCUUAUAACUGAAAACAGGUUCAAAUUUAAAUAUGCAAACAAUCUCAGUGACCACAGCCUUCCCACUCCUUCCUUCUGUUGGGCAUUUCUGAUCCUUGCACUCUGCAACUGAUUGAGCGUGAGUUCAGGCUGCUGUUCAGAGUCAAAAGAAACUGUCUUAGAGACAGCAAAGAAAUGCACCAGGAGAGGUGGAGGAGAUACAGGAGAAUGUGACCAGCCCCAGUCAAGUACUUAAAGGUAGUUUGAUCCCACAGUUCUUUGUUAAAGCAAGGAGCCUGAGAAAUAAAAUCCCACAAAAAACCGUCUGUGUUAGAAUCCAGUCCCAGCAGGUAAACAAGAAAAUUUUUCCUCAAGAUCAGAGUAAAAGGAACAGAAAUUGUUCCUCAAGAACAGAGUAGAAGAGGACCUUCUGCACCUGCAUUUUUUAGCUGCUUUGCCAGAGAGCCUGUACUGAGCCUGAGAGAGAGUUCAAGCAGAAGAAUUUAUGCUCUGAUCCAGAAUUUGGUACAUGUAUCUGUGCCCAU